rnacentral:misc_RNA from 1 species
AACUUCCACCUGGCAUACCUCUUCAUUUAUGUGUCAUGACUUGUAUUGUCUUGAGCGUAUUGUGGGUUUUCUGUGUUGCAUACCUAACUAAUGGUAUCGUUUUGAUUGAUCGAAGUCCCUUUUUGUCUUGUGUUGCCUUUGCGACACAUGAUGAACCUUGAAGUGGUCUCUAUGUUCCACCACAUUGAUGCUAGUGUUUUGAUGUUGUGGGYCAUUGAGUGUUGCUUGGUUUCGUGGAUACAGAACAUGAUUUGGGCAUAGGGUCACUCGCGUGACUCUUGUUCUGUCCUUUAUUAGUGUUCUUUAUAACGACGGUUCAUGUGCGCCUAGGCUCGUACCUGCGCGAUGUUCUUUGUCGAAGAUGAAUGCUACCUGGUUGAUCCUGCCAGUAGUCAUAUGCUUGUCUCAAAGAUUAAGCCAUGC